rnacentral:rRNA from 1 species
CCUACGGGAGGCUGCAGUCGAGAAUCAUUCACAAUGGGGGAAACUCUGAUGGUGCGACGCCGCGUGGGGGAAUGAAGGUCUUCGGAUUGUAAACCCCUGUUAUGCGGGAGCAAAUUAAAAAGAUAGUACCACAAGAGGAAGAGACGGCUAACUCUGUGCCAGCAGCUGCGGUAAUACAGAGGUCUCAAGAGUUGUUCGGAAUCACUGGGCGUAAAGCGUGCGUAGGCUGUUUCGUAAGUCGUGUGUGAAAGGCGCAGGCUCAACCCGCGAACGGCACAUGAUACUGCGAGGCUAGAGUAUUGGAGGGGGAGGCGGAAUGCACGGUGUAGCAGUGAAAUGCGUAGAGAUC